rnacentral:rRNA from 1 species
AGUGAACGCUGGCGGUAGGCCUAACACAUGCAAGUCGAACGGCAGCACAGUAAGAGCUUGCUCUUACGGGUGGCGAGUGGCGGACGGGUGAGGAAUACAUCGGAAUCUACUUUUUCGUGGGGGAUAACGUAGGGAAACUUACGCUAAUACCGCAUACGACCUACGGGUGAAAGCAGGGGAUCUUCGGACCUUGCGCGAUUGAAUGAGCCGAUGUCGGAUUAGCUAGUUGGCGGGGUAAAGGCCCACCAAGGCGACGAUCCGUAGCUGGUCUGAGAGGAUGAUCAGCCACACUGGAACUGAGACACGGUCCAGGCUCCUACGGGAGGCAGCAGUGUGGAAUAUUGGACAAUGGGCGCAAGCCUGAUCCAGCCAUACCGCGUGGGUGAAGAAGGCCUUCGGGUUGUAAAGCCCUUUUGUUGGGAAAGAAAAGCAGCAGGUUAAUACCCCGCUGUUCUGACGGUACCCAAAGAAUAAGCACCGGCUAACUUCGUG